GCAUUUUUAACCAGGUUUUCCGAAGGAAAAAACUGGUUAUUAGAUUGGCGAAUGCGGGCGGGCUGGCUGGCUGGCUGGCGGGCUGGCUGGCUGGCGGGCUGGCGGAAUAAGCUUGUCCGGGCCAUAACUAUGUCGUUCAUUGUCAGAUUUUAAAAUCAUUUGGCACAUUUGUUCACCAUCAUUGGACGGUGUGUCGCGCGAAAUAAUUACGUCGAUAUCUCCAAGGUCAAGGUCACACUUUGAGUUCAAAGGUCAAAAAUGGCCAUAAAUGAGCUUGUCCUGGCCAUAACUAUGUCAUUCAUUGUGAGAUUUUAAGAUCAUUUGGCACAUUUGUUCACCAUCAUGGGACGGUGUGUCCCACGAAAGAAUCACGUCAAUAUCUCCAAUGUCAAGGUCGCCACGACUAAAAAUAGAUUUAAAAAAAAAAAAAUUACAAAGGGGGUUAAUUUUUUUUGGUCAUUUCAAAA